rnacentral:rRNA from 1 species
AUGCAAGUCGAACGGUAACAUUUCUAGCUUGCUAGAAGAUGACGAGUGGCGGACGGGUGAGUAAUGCUUGGGAACUUGCCUUUGCGAGGGGGAUAACAGUUGGAAACGACUGCUAAUACCGCAUAAUGUCUUCGGACCAAACGGGGCUUAGGCUCCGGCGCAAAGAGAGGCCCAAGUGAGAUUAGCUAGUUGGUAAGGUAACGGCUUACCAAGGCGACGAUCUCUAGCUGUUCUGAGAGGAAGAUCAGCCACACUGGGACUGAGACACGGCCCAGACUCCUACGGGAGGCAGCAGUGGGGAAUAUUGCACAAUGGGGGAAACCCUGAUGCAGCCAUGCCGCGUGUGUGAAGAAGGCCUUCGGGUUGUAAAGCACUUUCAGUUGUGAGGAAAAGUUAGUAGUUAAUACCUGCUAGCCGUGACG